GACGAACCGUGCGAACGUUAUUCGGAAUCACUGGGCUUAAAGCGCGUGUAGGCGGCCCGGCACGUCAGUCGCUGAAAUCCCCCGGCUCAACCGGGGAAGUGGCGUUGAUACGACCGGGCUGGAGGGGGUAGGGGGGGGACGGAACUCACGGUGGAGCGGUGAAAUGCGUUGAGAUCGUGAGGAACGCCCGUGGCGAAAGCGCGUCCCUGGACCCCACCUGACGCUGAGACGCGAAAGCCAGGGAGCGAACGGG
rnacentral:rRNA from 1 species